rnacentral:rRNA from 1 species
AACGGGUGAGUAAUGCGUGACCAACCUGCCCCAUGCUCCAGAAUAGCUCUUGGAAACGGGUGGUAAUGCUGGAUGCUCCAACUUGACGCAUGUCUUGUUGGAAAGUGUUUAGUGGCAUGGGAUGGGGUCGCGUCCUAUCAGCUUGUAGGCGGGGUAAUGGCCCACCUAGGCUUCGACGGGUAGCCGGCCUGAGAGGGCGGACGGCCACAUUGGGACUGAGAUACGGCCCAGACUCCUACGGGAGGCAGCAGUU